AGAGUUUGAUCCUGGCUCAGGAUGAACGCUAGCUACAGGCUUAACACAUGCAAGUCGAGGGGCAUCAGGAAGAAAGCUUGCUUUCUUUGCUGGCGACCGGCGCACGGGUGAGUAACACGUAUCCAACCUGCCCUUUACUCGGGGAUAGCCUUUCGAAAGAAAGAUUAAUACCCGAUAGUAUAAUGAUUCCGCAUGGUUUGAUUAUUAAAGGAUUCCGGUAAAGGAUGGGGAUGCGUUCCAUUAGGUUGUUGGUGAGGUAACGGCUCACCAAGCCUUCGAUGGAUAGGGGUUCUGAGAGGAAGGUCCCCCACAUUGGAACUGAGACACGGUCCAAACUCCUACGGGAGGCAGCAGUGAGGAAUAUUGGUCAAUGGGCGUUAGCCUGAACCAGCCAAGUAGCGUGAAGGAUGAAGGCUCUAUGGGUCGUAAACUUCUUUUAUAUAAGAAUAAAGUGCAGUAUGUAUACUGUUUUGUAUGUAUUAUAUGAAUAAGGAUCGGCUAACUCCGUGCCAGCCGCCGCGGUAAUAC
rnacentral:rRNA from 1 species